rnacentral:rRNA from 1 species
CAGCUUGACUGCGAGCGUGACGGCGCGAGCAGGUGCGAAAGCAGGUCAUAGUGAUCCGGUGGUUCUGAAUGGAAGGGCCAUCGCUCAACGGAUAAAAGGUACUCCGGGGAUAACAGGCUGAUACCGCCCAAGAGUUCAUAUCGACGGCGGUGUUUGGCACCUCGAUGUCGGCUCAUCACAUCCUGGGGCUGAAGUAGGUCCCAAGGGUAUGGCUGUUCGCCAUUUAAAGUGGUACGCGAGCUGGGUUUAGAACGUCGUGAGACAGUUCGGUCCCUAUCUGCCGUG